rnacentral:rRNA from 1 species
CAGCCGCCGCGGUAAUACGGAGGGUGCAAGCGUUAAUCGGAAUUACUGGGCGUAAAGCGCACGCAGGCGGUCUGUCAAGUCAGAUGUGAAAUCCCCGGGCUUAACCUGGGAACUGCAUUUGAAACUGGCAGGCUAGAGUCUUGUAGAGGGGGGUAGAAUUCCAGGUGUAGCGGUGAAAUGCGUAGAGAUCUGGAGGAAUACCGGUGGCGAAGGCGGCCCCCUGGACAAAGACUGACGCUCAGGUGCGAAAGCGUGGGGAGCAAACAGGAUUAGAUACCCGUGUAGUCCCUGUCUCUUAUAC